GGUAAGGGGCGCAGCAUCCCCCUGCCAGCUGGCUCUCCCCGCCCCCACUGUUCUGCUCAGGCCCGAGAAGAGCUCCGGCGGCAGCCCAAGUCGAGAAUUUACCUUUCCCCUCUGUCAGCCAAGGAUUUGGAGGAAGCCGGAGGCAAUGGAGUGGUCAGAGGAGGAUGCACGUGGCGCUGCCCCUCCCCCAGGCUGAAUCCAGCUGCCAGCAAGGCAGCGGGGAGGGAGCGAGCGCGGGGGCAGGGGCGGCUCCCCGGCUCCGCCUGCACCCGCCGGCCAAGGUCAGAGUCGGAGGCCAGCUGCGGCGCGAGCCGAAAGCCACGUCAAGGAGAGAAGAGGCCUGCGGGGCUGCCAAGAACUGCGCGGCUGGCGGCGCGGGGAGGUGACGAUGACGUGGCAGCGUGAUGAAGCGCCACAUCCCCGGCAGGGCGUUCUGCUCCCAGGAGCUGACCCAAAGAAAAUAGCCCAGAUCAAGAAAGAGAGAUGUGUCCGGAAAUAGUCACAGCGGCAUAAGGGAAAUGGUCUAAUAAAUCUCGGUACAUCA